UACGUAGGGGGCAAGCGUUGUCCGGAUUUAUUGGGCGUAAAGAGCUCGUAGGCGGUUUGGUAAGUCGGGUGUGAAAUCUCCGUGCUCAACACGGAGGGGCCACCCGAUACUGCCAUGACUUGAGUCCGGUAGAGGAGAGUGGAAUUCCCGGUGUAGCGGUGAAAUGCGCAGAUAUCAGGAGGAACACCGGUGGCGAAGGCGGGUCUCUGGGCCGAUACUGACGCUGAGGAGCGAAAGCGUGGGGAGCGAACAGG
rnacentral:rRNA from 1 species